ACGGCACCUUUCCUAAAUACCAAGCCGGUGGGAAAAAGCUUUCUAUUUGUUUUCGUCGCUGGUCACCCGGGCCACCUUUGAGAUUACACAACUGAAAAUAGAUCACAACCCUUUUGCAAAAGGAUUUCGGGAUAAUUAUGACACGAUCUACACCGGCUGUGACAUGGACCGCCUGACCCCCUCGCCCAACGACUCGCCGCGCUCGCAGAUCGUGCCCGGGGCCCGCUACGCCAUGGCCGGCUCUUUCCUGCAGGACCAGUUCGUGAGCAACUACGCCAAGGCCCGCUUCCACCCGGGCGCGGGCGCGGGCCCCGGGCCGGGUACGGACCGCAGCGUGCCGCACACCAACGGGCUGCUGUCGCCGCAGCAGGCCGAGGACCCGGGCGCGCCCUCGCCGCAACGCUGGUUUGUGACGCCGGCCAACAACCGGCUGGACUUCGCGGCCUCGGCCUACGACACGG
rnacentral:sRNA from 1 species